UUGCCUGUGGAAGUGUCUGCUCCUCAUUCCUUUGUGAGCAGGAAUACAUUCAUAGCACGCUACAUCAAGAAAGUUCUCAGGGCUGCCAAACUUACAGUAAAGGGUGAGUUAUAGUAUAUUUCUCCUACAGAA
ensembl:snoRNA